ensembl:lncRNA
GCUUACCGUGCAGAGGCUUUCGGGCACCGGCAGGGGAGGGAAAAGGCCUUUCGGGAGCCGGGACCCCGCAGCGAGUGCGAGCGCCCCCUGCGCUGGGCGUUUAAGCCUGCGGCGGCCGGAGCAGCGCAACAAGGCUGGUGCUUCCGCAGGUGGUGAAGGUGCCCCCGGCAGGGAGAGGUGCCCGGCUGGUGAGAAGCCGCCGUCUGGAGCUGCGCUGGGGCUGGGCUCCCCCUCCGCAGCCCCGCAGCUGCAGCAGCAGCGUUCGGCAAACUGGGCGAAAGGCGUCCUGCUACCGGGGCGGGCUGAGCCUCGUUAGUUGGGUCCCGCCUCGCCCCACUCGGUUCCCGGCGCCAGGCGCAUGGGCGGAAGCAGAGCUGCUGCGGGGGGAGCGGGUGGGCGCUCGGUCGAGCUAGGACGGGGCUGGGGGGGCCGGCAGCCGGGUAGGGGGGAAAGGGGAGAAGAGGAGGCAAAGGCUCUGCCCUGGCCCUGUGCUCAGCCCGCCCAGGAGGAGCCGCCCGGGGCGGCCCCGAGGCUCCCGGUUCAGCUGGGAGGCUGCAUAUGGCCCCUGGCCCCUCCGUGUGCGGAGAAAAGGACCGGAGCAGGCGGCAGGUACCGGCCGGCAGGGUUCAGGUUCAGCCCCUUGGGAGCGGGGUUUGCGUUCACUAACGGGUUCUGCUGCCUGCGGGGGGCGAACGAGGGAGGAGCGCAGGAAUCCCGGUUGCCGGCAGCAGCCUCUGUGCAACUAGAGUCAGAGGACGCAUGUCCCGGUAGGGCUCCUCGCCCCUCCGGCCCCUGCAGGGACCCGGAGAGGGGUAUUUGCACUGGGCUCCCCCAGUAUAAGGCCUCUCGCCCCGUGGCUGGCUAUGGUCUGGGAGCUCACAUGAGAGCAAGGGUUCAUCCUCCCGGCUGUCCUUCGUCCUGCCGGCUGUGACACUGCGGCCGCUUCCUCACAAGGGGUUUUGCAGUGUAGGGGAGCAGCCGAGCGGCAGAAGGGCUGCUCGGCUCAAAAUGAGCAGCGCCGGGGAACGCUGAUACAGGAGGACGAGCCCAGGCGAGGAGCGCGGCCCUGACAUGGCAGCGCUGGGGGACACCGACACGGGAGGAGAUGUCUGAGGAGACACUGGUGCUGCCUUGCCUGCACCUGCCCACUGCAGGAGAUCUGGUGGGGACGCCUCUCAGUUCUGACCUUAGAAUUGGGAGAGACCCUCUGUGCAGAGAGAGGCACUUGGCAUGGAUUUAUUCCCUGAGGGAAGAGGCUGGGCUCCCUGCUGUUUGGAGCAACUUGCUGGUGACAGCCAUGUACCUGUACACCUGCCUCAGAGAACAUGUCCUGUGGACGGACACCCCAGCUUGCUACAGCUCAGGUAAUUUCAGCUCCAGGCACAGGAUGUUCCUGAUAACAGUCACUCCUUCCUGUUACAGCUGCAGGUCAGCUCGACUCUCCUCGUGGAGGCUACAGAGAGCAGAUGUCCUGCUCAACCAUGCUGUCUGCACAGCCCUGCUGAUGGAUGUCACAGCUCCAGCUAAUGGACACUCCAGCUCUGGGGCACAUCCAGCCAUUGGCCCUCUGGAUAAGAGAUGUUCCUGCUGAUGGGCUCACCAGCGUGUUACUGCUCGGGGUAUUUGAAGCCCUGGCUCCAGCUACACGAUGCUCUGCUGAUGGACACUCCAGUUCGUUUCAAUUCUGGCUACGAGAUGCUCCUGCUACAUGCAGCUGUGGCUGAGGAAGUGAAGCUGCUUCUUGUUACCAGCUUUG